CCUACGGGAGGCAGCAGUGGGGAAUCUUCCGCAAUGGGCGAAAGCCUGACGGAGCAACGCCGCGUGAUCGAAUGAAGGCCUUCGGGUUGUAAAGAUCUGUUGACAGGGACGAAUAAGCCAUGCGAAUAGUUUGGUGUAUGACGGUACCUGUUUAGAAAGCUCCGGCUAACUACGUGCCAGCAGCCGCGGUAAUACGUAGGGAGCAAGCGUUGUCCGGAAUUACUGGGCGUAAAGGGCGCGUAGGUGGGUGCUUAAGUCAGGUGUGAAAACUCUGGGCUCAACCUGGGGACUGCACUUGAAACUGGGUAUCUUGAGGGCAGGAGAGGAGAGUGGAAUUCCAGGUGUAGCGGUGAAAUGCGUAGAUAUUAGGAGGAACACCAGUGGCGAAGGCGACUUUCUGGACUGAACCUGACGCUGAGGCGCGAAAGCGUGGGUAGCGAACGGGAUUAGAUACCCGUGUAGUC
rnacentral:rRNA from 1 species